rnacentral:rRNA from 1 species
UACGUAGGUGGCUAGCGUUGUCCGGAUUUACUGGGCGUAAAGCGCGCGCAGGCGGUCGUUCAAGUCGAGUGUGAAAGCCCCCGGCCCAACUGGGGAGGGUCACUCGAUACUGAUCGACUUGAAGGCAGAAGAGGGAAGCGGAAUUCCCGGUGUAGUGGUGAAAUGCGUAGAUAUCGGGAGGAACACCAGUGGCGAAGGCGGCUUUCUGGUCUGUUCUUGACGCUGAGGCGCGAAAGCUAGGGUAGCAAACGGG